GUGCGCUGCAAUGAUUCUGUCAUCGUUUUCGGACGCGUUCGAAUGCUAUCGGAGGAAACGACUGAAGCCGUUGCGGACACACUAACUGUUAACAAGAGUCUCAAGGCCCUGCUGAAAUUGGGAGAUCAUGUUGUUUCCACUGACGUAAUGAAUUGUUUAGCAGGGUCGGACGAUGCAACGAGUACUUACGGUUUACAAAAGAUCUGUGAUUUAGACGCUGCAGUCAUUGACAACGGUUCACGUGAUGUUGAAACGCAGUGCCGAAAUGUGAUCGCUGGCGCCAAACGAAUUAUAACACAUCUCGAACAAGAACAGGAUGCAACGUUUGUGGACAGUGAUAAUGGAUUUAACGACGAUGAAGAUGAACAGUGUCAACGUCAAAAGAAACUCUUAUGCGUCUUUCGAUUUGUUGCUGAAUUAAUGGAGCUCUCUAUUACCAGAUGCCGAAGAGCUAUUCGACAUUCUGAUGCUCUUAUACGAUUUUGCGGCAUGCUUAAAAGUAUUUCGACAGCGGCAUACAAUUAUUUUCGGAAUUUUCUGUUUGGACUUCUUCCCCAUAUUAACCACCUACAAAACUGCGCUUCUGUAAAUUCCUAUUCGGAAGGUAUUCAGGAUGAAAAUUUGGCCAAAUUGAAGAAAAUCUCGGAAUCCGUUGAAGAUCGCCAUUUGGAUGUUGAACUUAUCAGCGACCAAACAUUCACCGACGAGAAACUGGAGUAUCGCGGAGGAGAAAUAAUCGGGGUUGCAAAAAACCAGGAGGACGUUGUCGCUGCGAAACAUGUUUUGCUCUUGAUUAUUCAAAGUUUCACUGGAAAAGUUCGUAAAGUCGUCGCAUAUUAUUUUGUUAAAAAUCUGAAUGGGGCUGAGAUGGCUGAAAUUCUGGAAGCGGUCUUGAACUCAAUAUCAAAAAAUACGAAAUUCCGGGUUCUGGUGUGUUCGUCGGAUAACGGAGCCGAAAACAUGGGAUGCCAUUCGCGCUUUAUAAGCGACAAGACGAAGUUUCCAUGGACUUUUCCCCAUCCUUGUGCUGACGGAAGUAUUGUAUAUGUAUUAUUGGACAUCGUGCACUUACUCAAACGAAUUUGGACGAACUGUAUUCGGGAAAAUAAUUCGUUCGUUAUAGAGGUUGGAACUCGUCGGGUAGACUUAACGCUACUUUUGCAGAUAUACGAAAUAGAACGCGGUUCCGUCAUAAAAAACGCGCCGGAUUUGACAGCUAAAUUAUUUUAUCCGAACGGGUUUGAAAAAAUGGAUGUAUCGAAUGCGGAAAAAAUUUUUUGUUCUGACCGGACUUUGGGGACACUGCAGAUGCUGCUGCGAGAUCAGAACAUCCACUCCUAAAAGAAUUAGCCAAUGUGCGCAGCGAAACUCGAGACCAGUGCGUAAAGUGCUUGGAUGUACUCGUCUGGUUCAUUCAGACUGUGCAAAGAAUUGUCAUGCCUCUUACUGUACUGAAUCCUCGUCAAGCUGCUCGUCUAAAGCAGCCGCUUUACGAAGCUGUUACAAAGGGCAACAUCGAUCGCAUUUUCUCUGACAUGAAAGUAGCAUUGUCUGAGCUCCGUCCAUCGACGAACGCCAGGAAAUCGUUGCCCCGACCGACGUGGACUGGUCUGCACGUUACCGUGUACGGCACAGAAGAAGUUGCCAGAAAGCUGUUGCACGCCGGUUUUGAGUUUGUUCUUCCCGGAAAAAUGUCUAGUGAUCCAAUAGAGAGAAUAUUUUCUGCGUUCAAAUAUGGUUCUGGAAAGGUAACAGUUGGGAAAGUGAAAGAAGAAGUUGCAAGGAUGGAAACAUUACAGCAUCUGACGGGAACAACAAACGUCAGCCGCAUGGGACGACAAAAGAGAAAAAAUACCGGUCUGACUUUUUCCACAUCCCCAUUGAAAAAGAAACGCCAUAUUGACCGGCCGCUGCGCACGAAAGUUUUCAGCUUUGAAGCAGAUAUCGGAUACCUGCGUGCGUUAGGCGAGUUGUCUGCACAUGUGCCGUCAGAUAUAUUUUCCGGACUCCAAAAAAUCGAUCCUCGGCUCUGGAGCGCAGCGACAAUUGCAGAUCUUGUUACAGCAGAUCCGUAUACGAUUUUCAGUUGCAGAAAAGAUGUCGUAGGGACUGGCUUGACUGAUGUUGGCGGAUAUAUUGUUUCAAAAAUGCAAAAGGGAAAGUUUCCGUGCUCUUCGUGCAAAUCUGGUAUCGGAAAUCUUCUGGGUGUUUGUUUUUCGGAAACCGGCGGGUUAGUUGAAGCACGAUCUCGGGUUGAAUUUGGUGGCUUAAGUUUACCUUCCCCGCAGUUGGGCAAACUGCUGCAUUAUGCGCUUGGAUUUUUUGAGCGUUUGCAAAAAAUCAGCGAAUUUUAUAAAGGCGACAGCCAUUUGGAAAGGGCACUCAAACUCAUUCUCCUCUCGAUGGAUCUCCACGGCUUUCAUCCUCUUAGUGAUAUUUGUGUAUGUGAAUCGACGAAGUAUUUAGAGUAUGAAUGUCUAAAGCGGUUCUUUAACACUGCGUUUAAAAAUGAUGUGAUUGAGCGCCGAGCCGAUGCUGUGAAGAAAAAGUAUGGUGCUCGGAAGUCUGUACCGAUGUCGACUGAUCCUGGUAAAUUGAAAAAAUUAAAGCAGCUAUAAGCCUAUAGCAGUCACUGUUGACACUUCUUCCGUUUAUUGCUAGGCUUACUUUUUUUUAAAUUGUUAAUUAAUUUUAACCAAAAAAU